UACGGAGGGUGCAAGCGUUACUCGGAAUUAUUGGGCGUAAAGCGCGCGUAGGCGGCUUGGUAAGUUUGAUGUGAAAGCCCUGGGCUCAAUCCAGGAAGUGCAUUGAAUACUGCCAGGCUGGAGUACAGGAGAGGAAGGCGGAAUUCCAGGUGUAGAGGUGAAAUUCGUAGAUAUCGUAAGGAAGACCAGUGGCGAAGGCGGGUCUCUGGACAGUUCCUGACGCUGAGGCACGAAGGUCAGGGGAGCAAACGGG
rnacentral:rRNA from 1 species